rnacentral:tRNA from 1 species
CACCAGCGUGGUCGCCGGGACGGCGCGGUGCUCGCGCAGCACGAAGGCGCUGACCUUGCGGCGCAGGUGCGGUUCGACGGCGCGGCCGGUCACC